GACGAACCGAGCGAACGUUGUUCGGAAUCACUGGGCUUAAAGGGCGCGUAGGCGGGUGCUCAAGUCCGUGGUGAAAUCCUCCGGCUCAACCGGAGAACUGCCUCGGAUACUGGGCGUCUCGAGUGUGGUAGGGGUAUGCGGAACUAUCGGUGGAGCGGUGAAAUGCGUUGAUAUCGAUAGGAACUCCGGUGGCGAAGGCGGCAUACUGGACCAACACUGACGCUGAGGAGCGAAAGCCAGGGGAGGCAAACGGG
rnacentral:rRNA from 1 species